UUAGGGUUUGAUCAUGGCUCAGAUUGAACGCUGGCGGCAUGCCUUACACAUGCAAGUCGAACGGCAGCACGGGAGCAAUCCUGGUGGCGAGUGGCGAACGGGUGAGUAAUACAUCGGAACGUGCCCAAUCGUGGGGGAUAACGCAGCGAAAGCUGUGCUAAUACCGCAUACGAUCUACGGAUGAAAGCAGGGGACCGCAAGGCCUUGCGCGAAUGGAGCGGCCGAUGGCAGAUUAGGUAGUUGGUGAGGUAAAGGCUCACCAAGCCUUCGAUCUGUAGCUGGUCUGAGAGGACGACCAGCCACACUGGGACUGAGACACGGCCCAGACUCCUACGGGAGGCAGCAGUGGGGAAUUUUGGACAAUGGGCGAAAGCCUGAUCCAGCAAUGCCGCGUGCAGGAUGAAGGCCUUCGGGUUGUAAACUGCUUUUGUACGGAACGAAACGGUUCUUUCUAAUAAAGAGAGCUAAUGACGGUACCGUAAGAAUAAGCACCGGCUAACUACGUGCCAGCAGCCGCGGUAAUACGUAGGGUGCAAGCGUUAAUCGGAAUUACUGGGCGUAAAGCGUGCGCAGGCGGUUAUGUAAGACAGUUGUGAAAUCCCCGGGCUCAACCUGGGAAUUGCAUCUGUGACUGCAUAGCUAGAGUACGGUAGAGGGGGAUGGAAUUCCGCGUGUAGCAGUGAAAUGCGUAGAUAUGCGGAGGAACACCGAUGGCGAANGCAAUCCCCUGGACCUGUACUGACGCUCAUGCACGAAAGCGUGGGGAGCAAACAGGAUUAG
rnacentral:rRNA from 1 species